AGCUCUGUAAGCGUAUACCAAAGUUGUUGCAGUUAAAACGCUCGUAGUCGGAUUUUGGGGCAGCCCGUGCUGUGCGCGUAGUGCGUGCGGCGCUGGGAUGUUCUUUUGUGGAGGGCGGUGCGUCGUGGCUUUACUGUCGCGGCGUAUCGGCGCCACCGUUUACUGUGAAAAAAUUAGAGUGUUCAAAGCAGGCGUUUGCCGUGAAUACAUUAGCAUGGAAUAAUAGAAUAGGACUUGGUUUCUAUUUUGUUGGUUUGUGAGAGCCGAGUAAUGAUUAAGAGGGACGGUUGGGGGCAUUUGUAUUCCAGCGUCAGAGGUGAAAUUCUUGGAUUGCUGGAAGACAAACCGCUGCGAAAGCGUCUGCCAAGGACGUUUUCAUUGAUCAAGAACGAAAGUACGC
rnacentral:rRNA from 1 species